AUGACACUCGUAACCUAUCCCAUUUAUUUUCAUAGGCUCAUGAUGGACACUGCCACAGAAUCCAGGGGUCAAAAGGUCAGAGGGCCUGGAUAUGCGAAAAGUUUAACCGCCAGGGGCUCCCCUAUCGGGAUCUCGAGUUCCUUGUCUCUAGACACUUCCCGAGACCCAUUUCUUCCUGGAAUUAAUUGCCAAUCCCUUAGCCUAACCCCUUAUCCAUAGAGAACAAUGGGAGGAAGAGAGAUGUAUGAAAAAUAUUUAAUAGCACGUCACCAACUAGCCCUUUAGGUAUGUCGUCGAGGGCUACUAGACGCAACUUUCUGCUAAGUGUUGGGCUCCUGGGUCCUGCGCGGGCCGUACGGGAGCUAUAGUGGCCCAAUUGUAAUGUCCCAAAUAUGUGACAUCUGCUUCUUUGUAGAAGAAAGAGAAAAGGAGGAGCACUGCCAGAAACAUGUUUGGAGGGUCGCACAGACCUCUGUGCAAAAAGAGUCCUAAACUUGUUUAAGGUUUUGCCAAAAGAGUGAAGGAAUGGGUUUAGACCACUGGACAUUUAGCUAUGAGAAUGGAGAUGAGUGUUAGCAAUUCAGAAUAACUGUAAAUGAUCAGUGGGGUAUUUUGAGCUGAAUCUUCUGUCAGGUUCUGCCCUUUUAGUUUGUUUAUUUUUAUUUUUGGGGGUUGUUUCUGUUUUUUACUGGUGGGGUUAGUGAAACCUGAUCAGUGAAGUUAAGAUGAUCAUCGAUCACAACUCCCAGGUUUCUGGCCGUUCAGGAAGAUGUGAUUGUUGAUGAGCCCAGUUGAAUGGAUAAAUUGUGAUGAAACUUUGUGUUGUCCGGGAUUACAAGCAGUUCUGUUUUAGCAAGGUUCAAGGUUGACCAUGUUGAAAACCAUUCCUCAUUCUUUCUUCACAAAGGGUGCAAACAAAAUCUGGAUCACUCAACCAUUGCACCAACAGCAUUUUGGUUAAAAACAACAUUAACAAGAUUAGCCUUCAUAUGACAUAUGAACCACACAUUCCAGUACAGUACAAUGUACACAUGCCAUAUACUGACAUGUAAAUAAACAUGACAUGUACUGAUGUAAAUAAAGUAAAAAUAAUUUGUUUUUAUUCUAUAAUAACAUAUUUUGUUACUAUGUUUUAUGUGAAAAAAUAUUUAAACUUAAAAAGCUUAAAAAUAAAAGUUCAUAAUUUAUGUAAUGCUCCCAGUUUUUUAAGGGCAGUGUUUUAUAAAUAAUAUGUAUAUUUUCUGAAUGAAAAUUGUUGACAGUGUUAUGUUGGUUUAUUUUAAAACAUAUUUGAAAUAUUUUGUUGGUCUGAGAGAGUUUUGGAGGUGAAAUUAAAUGGUUUGGCCAAGUUAACGGUCGACUGUGUGAAGAGUUUUGAAAAUGUGGCUUAAUGUAUUAAACAAUCCUUGUUAGCGGUUGAAAAAACUGUAAUAUGUACCGCUCCUUUAAAUUUAAACGUAGCCGAGGAAAUGGUUCACAAGACAAAAACCAGAUGAUUCAGCUGUAGAGAGGAAGAUCGUUGGAAUCUGCAAAAAGACAAGGUACGCUUAAAAUGAUGGCUUAAUACCAGUUGAAAUACAUACAAAUAUCAUUUUGGGUUAGUCUACACGUAAUGUAAAGCGCUUCUUACAAAUAUGACAUACACGUGUUUCAUUAUUGUACGUUUACAUAUGAUUUGCAGCGCUGAGCAUUAUAACCAAUAGCAAACGUUUCUUUUAAACUGUAGGAAUGCCAUGUCCAAUCAGAGGUGUUUGAUUUGGCACCGCGGAGACUUCAUGGGAGUUGCGCUGGCUAACUAAACUGUAAUUCUGCACAUGCGCCAACUCUCUCGUUAUCGUACACAACGUGGGGAUAAGAUAAAUUUCCUGGUGGCCAUCAAAUACAGUUUUCAGUGCACCCUUUAGGAACUGUCAGGAAGAACUCACUAACAUCGACGGCCACUGACCAAGAAAUAGAAUUAUAUAUUAAAAAAUGGCUUCACCUGGCUGGUGACCGUGAUGGUGGGAGACGCGAAAGAGAGAAAACGGAGGAGUGCCCAAGAUACACGUUUUUGCUUAUUCAGAUUGCUUCCCAGUUUUGGAUGUGUAAUCAUGCAAUGUUUGUUUUUGGCAAUAUUAAUAAAUUAAGCAGUUGUUUUC